GACGAACCGUGCGAACGUUGUUCGGAUUCACUGGGCUUAAAGGGCGCGUAGGCGGGCGGUCAAGUCGGGGGUGAAAUCUUUCAGCUUAACUGGAAAAGUGCCUCCGAUACUGAUCGUCUUGAGGGAGGUAGGGGCAUGUGGAACUUCCGGUGGAGCGGUGAAAUGCGCAGAUAUCAGGAGGAACACCGGUGGCGAAGGCGGUUCUCUGGGCCUGUACUGACGCUGGAGGAGCGAAAGCGUGGGGAGCGAACAGG
rnacentral:rRNA from 1 species